rnacentral:lncRNA from 1 species
UUAUUAUAAGUUAAUUAUUAACUAAAAUGUUAAUUUAUAUUAAUAGCAACAUAUAUAACCCUAUAAAGUUGUUGAUCUUUAUAUUUAGAUCUUUAAAUUUGAAUGUGCCAUAUAUUAUAAUCAACUAUUCCUUAAAAGUUUAAUUUUUAAGCUUAUAUAUUUAUUUUUAUAGAAGUAACUAGAGUGACAUAUUAUAAGUUUUUUAAAAAU